rnacentral:misc_RNA from 1 species
UACAGAGGUCCCGAGCGUUGUUCGGAUUCACUGGGCGUAAAGGGUGCGUAGGUGGUGAGGAAAGUCGGAUGUGAAAGCUCCGGGCUCAACCCGGAAAUGGCAUUGGAAACUACCUUGCUUGAGGUUUGGAGGGGGGACUGGAAUUCUCGGUGUAGCAGUGAAAUGCGUAGAUAUCGAGAGGAACACCAGUGGCGAAGGCGAGUCCCUGGACAACACCUGACACUGAGGCACGAAAGCCGGGGGAGCAAACAGG